rnacentral:rRNA from 1 species
UAAGGAAUAUUGGUCAAUGGACGCAAGUCUGAACCAGCCAUGCCGCGUGGAGGAUUAAGGCCCUCUGGGUUGUAAACUCCUUUUAUCUGGGAAGAAAUGUACUUUUUCUUGAGUACUUGACGGUACCAGAGGAAUAAGCACCGGCUAACUCCGUGCCAGCAGCCGCGGUAAUACGGAGGGUGCAAGCGUUAUCCGGAUUCACUGGGUUUAAAGGGUGCGUAGGUGGGCAGGUAAGUCAGUGGUGAAAUCUCCGGGCUUAACCCGGAAACUGCCGUUGAUACUAUUUGACUUGAAUAUUGUGGAGGUAAGCGGAAUAUGUCAUGUAGCGGUGAAAUGCUUAGAUAUGACAUAGAACACCAAUUGCGAAGGCAGCUUACUACACAAUCAUUGACGCUGAGGCACGAAAGCGUGGGGAUCAAACA